CUUAUAUUCUGUAGCAAGGUUAACCGUAUAGGGGAGCCGAAGGGAAACCGAGUCUUAACUGGGCGUUAAGUUGCAGGGUAUAGACCCGAAACCCGGUGAUCUAGCCAUGGGCAGGUUGAAGGUUGGGUAACACUAACUGGAGGACCGAACCGACUAAUGUUGAAAAAUUAGCGGAUGACUUGUGGCUGGGGGUGAAAGGCCAAUCAAACCGGGAGAUAGCUGGUUCUCCCCGAAAGCUAUUUAGGUAGCGCCUCGUGAACUCAUCUUCGGGGGUAGAGCACUGUUUCGGCUAGGGGGUCAUCCCGACUUACCAACCCGAUGCAAACUGCGAAUACCGAAGAAUGUUAUCACGGGAGACACACGGCGGGUGCUAACGUCCGUCGUGAAGAGGGAAACAACCCAGACCGCCAGCUAAGGUCCCAAAGUCACAGUUAAGUGGGAAACGAUGUGGGAAGGCUCAGACAGCCAGGAUGUUGGCUUAGAAGCAGCCAUCAUUUAAAGAAAGCGUAAUAGCUCACUGGUCGAGUCGGCCUGCGCGGAAGAUGUAACGGGGCUAAACUGUGCACCGAAGCUGCGGCAGCGACGCUUAUGCGUUGUUGGGUAGGGGUGCGUUCUGUAAGCCUGCGAAGGUGUCCUGUGAGGGAUGCUGGAGGUAUCAGAAGUGCGAAUGCUGACAUAAGUAACGAUAAUGCGGGUGAAAAGCCCGCUCGCCGGAAGACCAAGGGUUCCUGUCCAACGUUAAUCGGGGCAGGGUGAGUCGACCCCUAAGGCGAGGCCGAAAGGCGUAGUCGAUGGGAAACGGGUUAAUAUUCCCGUACUUGGUGUUACUGCGAAGGGGGGACGGAGAAGGCUAUGUUGGCCGGGCGACGGUUGUCCCGGUUUAAGCGUGUAGGCUGGUUUUCCAGGCAAAUCCGGAAAAUCAAGGCUGAGGCGUGAUGACGAGGCACUACGGUGCUGAAGCAACAAAUGCCCUGCUUCCAGGAAAAGCCUCUAAGCAUCAGGUAACAUCAAAUCGUACCCCAAACCGACACAGGUGGUCAGGUAGAGAAUACCAAGGCGCUUGAGAGAACUCGGGUGAAGGAACUAGGCAAAAUGGUGCCGUAACUUCGGGAGAAGGCACGCUGACACGUAGGUGAAGUGAUUUACUCA
rnacentral:rRNA from 1 species